rnacentral:rRNA from 1 species
AGUGAACGCUGGCGGUAGGCCUAACACAUGCAAGUCGAACGGCAGCACAGUAAGAGCUUGCUCUUACGGGUGGCGAGUGGCGGACGGGUGAGGAAUACAUCGGGAUCUACUUUUUCGUGGGGGAUAACGUAGGGAAACUUACGCUAAUACCGCAUACGACCUACGGGUGAAAGCAGGGGAUCUUCGGACCUUGCGCGAUUGAAUGAGCCGAUGUCGGAUUAGCUAGUUGGCGGGGUAAAGGCCCACCAAGGCGACGAUCCGUAGCUGGUCUGAGAGGAUGAUCAGCCAAACUGGAACUGAGACACGGUCCAGACUCCUACGGGAGGCAGCAGUGGGGAAUAUUGGACAAUGGGCGCAAGCCUGAUCCAGCCAUACCGCGUGGGUGAAGAAGGCCUUCGGGUUGUAAAGCCCUUUUGUUGGGAAAGAAAAGCAGCAGGUUAAUACCCCGCUGUUCUGACGGUACCCAAAGAAUAAGCACCGGCUAACUUCGUG